rnacentral:rRNA from 1 species
UGGCCUUGACAUAGUAGAAACUUUCCAGAGAUGGAAAGGUGCCUUCGGGAAUCUACAUACAGGUGCUGCAUGGCUGUCGUCAGCUCGUGUCGUGAGAUGUUGGGUUAAGUCCCGCAACGAGCGCAACCCUUUUCCUUACUUGCCAGCAUUUCGGAUGGGAACUUUAAGGAUACUGCCAGUGACAAACUGGAGGAAGGCGGGGACGACGUCAAGUCAUCAUGGCCCUUACGGCCAGGGCUA